UCGAACGAUGAAGCCCUUCGGGGUGGAUUAGUGGCGAACGGGUGAGUAACACGUGGGCAAUCUGCCCUUCACUCUGGGACAAGCCCUGGAAACGGGGUCUAAUACCGGAUAACACUCCUGCAGGCAUGUGUGGGGGUUGAAAGCUCCGGCGGUGAAGGAUGAGCCCGCGGCCUAUCAGCUUGUUGGUGAGGUAGAAGCUCACCAAGGCGACGACGGGUAGCCGGCCUGAGAGGGCGACCGGCCACACUGGGACUGAGACACGGCCCAGACUCCUACGGGAGGCAGCAGUGGGGAAUAUUGCACAAUGGGCGAAAGCCUGAUGCAGCGACGCCGCGUGAGGGAUGACGGCCUUCGGGUUGUAAACCUCUUUCAGCAGGGAAGAAGCGAAAGUGACGGUACCUGCAGAAGAAGCGCCGGCUAACUACGUGCCAGCAGCCGCGGUAAUACGUAGGGCGCAAGCGUUGUCCGGAAUUAUUGGGCGUAAAGAGCUCGUAGGCGGUCUGUCACGUCGGAUGUGAAAGCCCGGGGCUUAACCCCGGGUCUGCAUUCGAUACGGGCAGACUAGAGUGUGGUAGGGGAGAUCGGAAUUCCUGGUGUAGCGGUGAAAUGCGCAGAUAUCAGGAGGAACACCGGUGGCGAAGGCGGAUCUCUGGGCCAUUACUGACGCUGAGGAGCGAAAGCGUGGGGAGCGAACAGGAUUAGAUACCCUGGUAGUCCACGCCGUAAACGGUGGGAACUAGGUGUUGGCGACAUUCCACGUCGUCGGUGCCGCAGCUAACGCAUUAAGUUCCCCGCCUGGGGAGUACGGCCGCAAGGCUAAAACUCAAAGGAAUUGACGGGGGCCCGCACAAGCAGCGGAGCAUGUGGCUUAAUUCGACGCAACGCGAAGAACCUUACCAAGGCUUGACAUCGCCCGGAAAGCAU
rnacentral:rRNA from 1 species